rnacentral:rRNA from 1 species
GACGAACGCUGGCGGCGUGCUUAACACAUGCAAGUCGAACGAAGAGCGAUGGAAGCUUGCUUCUAUCAAUCUUAGUGGCGAACGGGUGAGUAACGCGUAAUCAACCUGCCCUUCAGAGGGGGACAACAGUUGGAAACGACUGCUAAUACCGCAUACGAUCUGACCUCGGCAUCGAGGAUAGAUGAAAGGUGGCCUCUACAUGUAAGCCAUCACUGAAGGAGGGGAUUGCGUCUGAUUAGCUAGUUGGAGGGGUAACGGCCCACCAAGGCGAUGAUCAGUAGCCGGUCUGAGAGGAUGAACGGCCACAUUGGGACUGAGACACGGCCCAGACUCCUACGGGAGGCAGCAGUGGGGAAUCUUCCGCAAUGGACGAAAGUCUGACGGAGCAACGCCGCGUGAGUGAUGACGGCCUUCGGGUUGUAAAGCUCUGUUAAUCGGGACGAAAGGCCUUUUUGCGAAUAGUGAGAAGGAUUGACGGUACCGGAAUAGAAAGCCACGGCUAACUACGUG